UGGGGAAUUUUGGACAAUGGGGGAAACCCUGCUCCAGCCAUCCCGCGUGUGCGAUGAAGGCCUUCGGGUUGUAAAGCACUUUUGGCAGGAAAGAAACGUCAUGGGUUAAUACCCCGUGAAACUGACGGUACCUGCAGAAUAAGCACCGGCUAACUACGUGCCAGCAGCCGCGGUAAUACGUAGGGUGCAAGCGUUAAUCGGAAUUACUGGGCGUAAAGCGUGCGCAGGCGGUUCGGAAAGAAAGAUGUGAAAUCCCAGAGCUCAGCUUUGGAACUGCAUUUUUAACUACCGGACUAGAGUGUGGCAGAGGGAGGUGGAAUUCCGCGUGUAGCAGUGAAAUGCGUAGAUAUGGGGAGGAACACCGAUGGCGAAGGCAGCCUCCUGGGAUAACACUGACGCUCAUGCACGAAAGCGUGGGGAGCAAACAGG
rnacentral:rRNA from 1 species